rnacentral:rRNA from 2 species
UACGGAGGGUGCAAGCGUUAUCCGGAUUUAUUGGGUUUAAAGGGUCCGCAGGCGGGCCGAUAAGUCAGUGGUGAAAUCUCAUAGCUUAACUAUGAAACUGCCAUUGAUACUGUCGGUCUUGAGUAAAUUAGAGGUAGCUGGAAUAAGUAGUGUAGCGGUGAAAUGCAUAGAUAUUACUUAGAACACCAAUUGCGAAGGCAGGUUACCAUGAUUUAACUGACGCUGAGGGACGAAAGCGUGGGGAGCGAACAGG